AUGUUCUUCCACACUGCAGUGCAGAGACCCAGGGAGCAAAUAGCGGAUGCAGAGGCUCUACUGGACAUUACAACCACCUUGGUAAAAUCUGUGAGGUCCCAGUCAAGUGAAGGAAUCACACCUUCUGAUUUCGUAACAGCAUUGCUGAAGAAAUUUGGGCAGCAAGCAACCCUUGAUUCUGAGCCUGGCUCAUUGCGCUAGGUUGAUAUUGGGCUUUCUUAUUCACAUGCCUUCAGGGCUGCACCUGGAUGCUGCACCAUGCUUGGACCCAUGGAUAUGGAAGUAAAACAGCGUAAGCUUUCAGUUUUUAAUUGAAAAAGAAGUAGGCCAACUGAAAAAACUUGUCCUGAAGAGCUUGCUGAUUCUUCGGAGGGAGCAAAGCCAGACACUAGCCGAAAUGUGACUGUUGUUUUUUUUUUUGAAAGAUCCAGCAAAAUGUUGGCUUGA
rnacentral:rRNA from 1 species